rnacentral:rRNA from 1 species
AACGGCCGUACCAUGCUGAAUAUACCGGUUCUCGUUAGAUCACCGAAGUCAAGCAUCAUUGGGCGCGGUCAGUACUUGAGUAGGUGACCACCUGGGAACACCGCGUGCCGUU